GUGAUUUGAUUAGGACACAUACUUCUGGACAUACCAUAUUUUGAUAUUGAAUUGUAUGGAAUGUAAAGAAGUAUGGAGUGCUUUCAAUUCAA
rnacentral:pre_miRNA from 1 species